rnacentral:rRNA from 1 species
CGUACACUCCUGCGGGAGGCAGCAGUGGGGAAUAUUGCACAAUGGGCGCAAGCCUGAUGCAGCCAUGCCGCGUGUAUGAAGAAGGCCUUCGGGUUGUAAAGUACUUUCAGCGGGGAGGAAGGCGAUAAGGUUAAUAACCUUGUUGAUUGACGUUACCCGCAGAAGAAGCACCGGCUAACUCCGUGCCAGCAGCCGCGGUAAUACGGAGGGUGCAAGCGUUAAUCGGAAUUACUGGGCGUAAAGCGCACGCAGGCGGUCUGUCAAGUCGGAUGUGAAAUCCCCGGGCUCAACCUGGGAACUGCAUUCGAAACUGGCAGGCUAGAGUCUUGUAGAGGGGGGUAGAAUUCCAGGUGUAGCGGUGAAAUGCGUAGAGAUCUGGAGGAAUACCGGUGGCGAAGGCGGCCCCCUGGACAAAGACUGACGCUCAGGUGCGAAAGCGUGGGGAGCAAACAGGAUUAGAUACCCCAGUAGUCC